GAUGACAGCAAAACGUUGGAGCUUUAUCUUCAUUCUAUUGCAGUGCUCGUUCUUGUUUUACUUGUGAUUUAAUCUUGCAACUAUUUCUUUGUGUUGUUGCUUCGUCUGCAAGAAAAAGAAGUCUGAAGCUGCUGGCAAACCUUAAUUAUUCACUAUUUAUGUUAGCACGGCAUAUAUAGCCUAUGUCAUAAGUUAAAGUAAUAUGUAUGAACUCCGUUUUUCAAGACGGUAUGGAAUGCGGGAUAAUUAUCUUUUUAAAUGUUGAAGUAAGUCACUAUACUAGACAUAUAGAGUAAACAGUUACUGCCAUUAAGGGAACUGUAAUGCAAUUUGCCCGUUUUAUAUAUAACCGCACAAUCAGUCAAUUUAUUUGCACAAUUUUGUAUGAAAGCCAUGCAGUAUAGUCACCCAUAAAGUUUGCAUUUUGUAUUUAAUCUAUAUUAUGCCUGGC